CAAAGACAGUGCCAGAAGGAUGCUGGACAGGGUUUUAAAAAAAUUCCCUCAUGUCUAAAUUCAACAUGAAGGGGGGUGGUCCGCUGCAGAAAGAGGCAUUUGAAAAGACUGCACUGUUCUCUGUCAUUAGAGAUGCUGUGAUGACCAAUUUCCCGGCAGCAAAAGAGUUGGACUUGAGGAAUGCAGUUGGGAAGCA